rnacentral:lncRNA from 1 species
UUUUAUAUAUUUUUAAUUGGGUAAACUUCAAAUACAUUCCUAUAGUUUCGCAUUUUUUUCACUUUAGUACCCUAUGAUUUAGUGUGUAUUAAUUUUAGUACCCUAUGAUUUCAUUUUUUCCUUUUCGUCAACUCCUCUAUUAACAUUUCGUUAAAUUAUAUACAAAAAUUUUAAAUACCUACCUUUUAGUUUAAUUUUGUCACUGAUUUAACAAAAAAGAUUACGCUUCGACAAUUUUGGUCAUCUCAUAUUAAGUAUAGUAGUAUUUGGGAUGUGCGUUGCU